AGUAAGAUGACUGAUAAAAGUGAUAAAUUGUAAAUUUAUAAAUGAAAUAAUUCUCU
rnacentral:tRNA from 1 species